AACGAACGCUGGCGGCAGGCUUAACACAUGCAAGUCGAACGCAUCCUUCGGGGUGCGUGGCAGACGGGUGAGUAACGCGUGGGAACGUGCCCUUCAGUUCGGGAUAACCCAGGGAAACUUGGGCUAAUACCGGAUACGUGCGAGAGCAGAAAGAUUUAUCGCUGAAGGAUCGGCCCGCGUCUGAUUAGCUAGUUGGUGGGGUAAUGGCCCACCAAGGCGACGAUCAGUAGCUGGUCUGAGAGGAUGAUCAGCCACAUUGGGACUGAGACACGGCCCAAACUCCGACGGGGGGUAGCAGUGGGGAAUAUUGGACAAUGGGCGCGAGCCUGAUCCAGCCUUGCGGAGUGGGUGAUGAAGGCCUUAGGGUUGUAAAGCUCUUUCGUCCGGGACGAUAAUGACGGUACCGGAAGAAGAAGCCCCGGCUAACUUCGUGCCAGCAGCCGCAGUAA
rnacentral:rRNA from 1 species